AAAUCAACUCCAAAAAUCCCAAAAAUUUGUGUGAGUGUAGCUCUUUGUGUCUAGUAUCUGCAUAUAAAAUUUCGUAGAAUUUAGAUAAGUGUAAGUCGGUCUAAUAAUUAUUGUUUGGUGGCUGGUCAGUAGGGACAGCAACCAGUUUUUGUAACAUUUUAAAUAGUUAGAUAAAACAAUCUUCUGCGGGAAAGACCCUUAUUUUCAUAUGCUACAACUGACAAAUCUUAUUGUUAAUAAGGAAAAUCAAUAGGACAUUUGUGUGCUACUUUAUGGUGUGCUUUUAAUCCUAUCAAAUUUUUGGCGCCGUGUCGCCGGGGAUUGUUAUUUCUAAUUAUUUAUUUCUCUAUUGUUUUCUUUUCUUGUCUAAUUAGUGUUUUUGUUUUUGUUUUUAUGUCAGGUACUCUUCAUAGUAUAUGCAUACUCGAAGGUCCAAGAACCAGCCCCCCUUGGAUGAUUACUCUCGGAAAGUUUGAUCAUGUCCACCCUUAAAGUUGAUUGCAAAAUUGGAGUUUGGGGAUCAUCGCUUGAUUUUACAGCAAAUUGGGGAAAUUUUCAGUCCAAAUGCUUUAUUUUGUUUAUUAUUAUUUAUUUUAUUUUUAUUUUUAUUUUCAUUUUUUGACAUUAAGGACAAUGUCCAGUUUAGGUUUGGGCGUAAGGAUUGAAAAAAUGACCAAAUUGAAAAUGUUCAUCCCUUUGACUAAGAAUUGGUUUGAUUUGUUUCCUUGUUGUUGCUUUUUUUUUUCUUAAUUUCUUUUGUUUACUCUAAAAAAUAAACCCAAAAAAAAAUAUCUAAAAAUAUGAAAAUCCAAAAAAUAUUGUCUUAUUUUCUUUAUCGUUUUGAAUUAGAUUUUUGUUAGUUUCCCGAUCCAAUGAUAUAAUUCAAUUAAAUUUGAACCACGGUGAUCAAGGACUUAGUAAGCAUGUGUUGUGUGAAAUUCCUUAUUCUCUUGUUAGCCUUGUACAUGUUUAAUCAUCUUUGAAAAACCAAAUGCACAUAGCCUUGUUGAUGUGAAACUAAAGUAUGACUUAAAGCUUCACAUGUGAAUAUAGUGACCAUAUACAACCUAUGUGAGUUUUUGAGCCUAUUGAAAGUGUGUGCAUUUUUCAUACACUCAUAUUCUUUCAUGUGUGAUGAACUUAUGUGAAUUACAUAUCUAGAACUUGCGUAACGAUCUUUUUAAAUGUUUGUCAUUGAUUGCAUGAACUUGAAAAGGAUAGAGGCAUUAAGUUUACCACCAUGGCCCAAAUAAGCAUGUUUCCUAAAGAGAAAUGAUAUCAUUAGAUUGCCAAUUUGAGCCGUAUAUGUUGAGCCUUUUAUUUCUUUUCACCAGAUAUGUCUACCCUUAUACCUUAAACAUUUUUCCUUACCCUUUCCAAGCUAGCUAGUGAGCAAUGUGAGAUUGUCUUAUGAGAAAUGUUUGUGAAGUACUUUGAAGGAGUUUGGAAAAAGAAUAAGUGUGGGGAUGUUUCAUGUUUGUAUUUAGUUAUGUGCAAAAUUGGUUCCAAAAAAAAAAAAAAAAAAGAAGAAAGAAAAAAGAAAAUUGUAUACAAAGAAAAUAAAAAGUUUUUUUUUUAAGUUUCAGUUUAGGGGUGUGGUUGGAGGUAUUAGUAGAAUGGUUGGAGAGCUUGAGUUCUUGUAAAUCUCAACAAGAGAAUUGCUUGCAAUGUAGUUUGGAACUUGUGUUUACCUAUCCUUUCAUUUCUAUAACCCUCUCCCUAAGCCUCAUUACAACCAAUAAAAGUCCUCUUGAUUUAAGUUUUGCAAUUAUGAUUGUGGAGAUGAGAUCUUUAUGCAAGCUUAUAGUAGAUCUUUCACAUUCGAUUCUUUGAGCGAAAUACGUUAAACUAAAUAUAUGUGUGAUUGAGUGUAUGUCCCGUGAGAAGGUCACUAGUUUGCAUGUGGUGUUUUAAAAAAAACUUGAAAUUGCAUUAGCAUGGCUAUUACACACACUACACUUCAUGGAUGAUUAAAAGGUUACUGCUAACAUUUGAAUAAGGAAGAUGAGCUUGGAUUAGCUUGUUUGGUGCUAGCUAAGGUUUUUGAUGAUUUGUUUUCUUGAAUGAAAUUCUAAGAGGGUCACAUAGGGGGAAGCUAUUGUUUUUCAUGUCGCUACUUUUUCAUAUUUUCUUCAUUUUGCUCGAGGACUAGCAAAAGCUAAGUGUUGGGGUAUUUGAUAAGCUCAUAUUUAUAUAUAUUUUACGUCAAAUUCACUUGUCUUUUCUUAGUUAGUUCCUUAUAUUUUUGAGCUAUUUACUUUGUUUUUGUGUUUUGUGGGAUUUGUCAAGCAAAUAAAAGAAAAAUAGCACAAGUAGGAUUUUUAGUAACAAAUUUGUCAAAACUGCCUGUGCAGAUCAGCUGAAUUUGGAAGCAAGUUGCGAACAGCUCAGAAUGAAUUAGAGAAUGAGCCUUAUAUGCUUGGAAAGCUACGGAUGUAUAUUUUCUGGAACAUUUCGCGGAUUGUUAAUAUCAUUUUUCUAGAAGAAGUUAUGGCCAUUUUAAUACUGAAAGGUUUCCAAGACGCUGAGCAGUUUGUAACUGCAUUGAAGGCAAUAAAUCCAAUAAAACUAGCAGCCAAAACUGAUGCAACCAAGAACAAGUCAGCUGACACCUAUUCAAAUAUCAGAUGAAAUGGAAUUAAAAAUGAGGAUUAAGAGGGAGUAAUUGGCAUAAAGGCUACCUAAAGUGUUACAAUUGUUUUACCACAUUUCCUCUCACUUAUUGUCAUCGCUAAAUGGCUAUUAGUGGGUAAGUUAAGGAGAAGAAAAUGAUGCAGCAAGAAUGGGUUUAAAAGUAGCAUUGGGGAAGGAAGGAAGGGGGGAGGAGGCCUCGGUCGAUUUCUUUCGGUUCUAUCUUCUCAAACUCAUGUCUAUCUUUUGUUUUAACUUAAGGAUUGUGUGUAACUAAAUUUUUAGGAUGCAUAUGUAGUAAGCAUAUAUAGGAUGCAUAUGUAGUAAGCAUAUCUAGGAUUCUAAUGCUAUGAAUAUGUGUGUGUCUGCCCUUAUCAAAUGAGGACCUACAUAUAUUCUAGAGUAGUACUUGUUAAUUGCAAUUAACAUGUGAACCAAUUUCUAGGAUAAGUAAGACAACGUCAGUACUUACGAUGCCUUGUGAUGACUCAAACUCUUUUCGUUCUUAAUGAUUUCUACUUGUUAAAUCUAUGAA
rnacentral:lncRNA from 1 species